UACGGAGGGGGCUAGCGUUGUUCGGAAUUACUGGGCGUAAAGCGCACGUAGGCGGAUCAGUCAGUCAGGGGUGAAAUCCCGGGGCUCAACCCCGGAACUGCCUUUGAUACUGCUGGUCUGGAGGUCGAGAGAGGUGAGUGGAAUUCCGAGUGUAGAGGUGAAAUUCAUAGAUAUUCGGAGGAACACCAGUGGCGAAGGCGGCUCACUGGCUCGAUACUGACGCUGAGGUGCGAAAGCGUGGGGAGCAAACAGG
rnacentral:rRNA from 1 species